rnacentral:rRNA from 1 species
AACGUAGGGUGCGAGCGUUAUUCGGAUUUACUGGGCGUAAAGGGUCCGCAGGGGGUUUGCCAAGUCUGAUGUGAAAUGCCGCGGCCCAACCGUGGAACGGCAUUGGAUACUGGCGAACUGGAGUGCACGAGGGGUGAGCGGAAUUCCUGGUGUAGCGGUGGAAUGCGUAGAUAUCAGGAAGAACACCGAUGGCGAAGGCGGCUCACUGGCGUGCAACUGACCCUCAGGGACGAAAGCGUGGGGAG